AGGGAAGUGGUUGCCGGUAUUCCCUUCGCCUUAGUAUCAACAGAACACCCAAUAUUUUGCAUCUUUUUCACCAGCGAUUCCUCUUGGCUAGCCCAAAGAUUGGAUCAGAGGUAAAUAAAGAGCCCAGGGCGGAUGGGUCGAAGUUGCAGCUGAAAUGUAGGAAAAUCACCCCGAAGGCCCAACUACCUGCCUUUAUCCUAACACACUUACUGCAGUACAAUGAAUGGGCAAGAGGGGGAGACAAAACUAAGUUACACUAACA
rnacentral:lncRNA from 1 species